GGACUUGGCAUUAUUCGGCGCGCUGCCUAUAUCGGUCGGGCCGGGUUCGCCCGGCUAUGGCGAUAAACUGCGGCGUAUCAAGUAGGCGCAGCGGACCCGGGGGCAGUACCCGGCGGCUCCACCACCUGAGCCGGUUGGUCGACACGUGUGAAGCGUGCCGACCGAGCGGCUCAGCUAUUGGGGCCGAACUAGGAUCGACGUGUGUUGAAAGGCGCAGCUUUCGCUCGGAAUGGGACCACCGCGACGGCCCAUUUUACAAGUGCCAACGAUAACGAGGCGCUCGCGAUUGCGGCCUAACCCAAGUCCUCACGGACUAGGUUAGUCAGACAAAAGCGCGGUACGGGCCACACCGGGCAACAGAAGUGGACACCA
rnacentral:tmRNA from 1 species